rnacentral:rRNA from 1 species
UACAGAGGGUGCAAGCGUUAAUCGGAAUUACUGGGCGUAAAGCGUGCGUAGACGGUAGCGUAAGUCGGGUGUGAAAGCCCCGGGCUCAACCUGGGAAUUACAUUCGAGACUGCUCUGCUAGGGUGCGGAAGAGGGGAGCGGAAUUUCCGGUGUAGCGGUGAAAUGCGUAGAUAUCGGAAGGAACACCAGUGGCGAAAGCGGCUCCCUGGUCCAGCACCGACGUUCAGGCACGAAAGCGUGGGGAGCAAACAGG